rnacentral:rRNA from 1 species
AGAGAUGUGUGAUGACGCAUAUCAAUAAGCGGAGGAAAAGAAACUAACAAGGAUUCCCUUAGUAACGGCGAGUGAAGCGGGAAGAGCUCAAAUUUGAAAUCUUCAAGGUUCUACCUUGACGAAUUGUAGUUUAUAAGAAGUGUUUUCUGUUAGUAGGAGUGGCAAAAGUUCUUUGGAAUAGGACAUCAUAGAGGGUGAGAAUCCCGUAUUUGGUCAUUCCUUUCUAGCUUUGUGAUACACUUUCAACGAGUCGGAUUGUUUGGGAAUGCAGUCCAAAAUGGGUGGUAAAUUUCAUCUAAAGCUAAAUAUUGGCGAGAGACCGAUAGCGAACAAGUACCGUGAGGGAAAGAUGAAAGAACUUUGAAAAGAGAGUUAAACAGUACGUGAAAUUGUCAAAAGGGAAGCGUUUGACACCAGUGUUGUUUUUCCGAAAAUCAAUUACGAAUGUUUUAUUUUUGAGAAGUUAUGACUUCAUCGGCUUGCUUCUCUCUUUAUGAAACUUUCUUAAUGCACUUUUCGGUUAACAAGUCAACAUCAAUUUCUUUUGUUGUAAAAGGGUAUGAGGAAGGUGGCUUUCUUUUCGGAGAAAGUGUUUAUAGCCUUGUACCUCUGCAAUCGGAGAGAUUGAGGUCUGCAGCGUAGAUCCUUCGGGGUUAGAUACAUUUGUGCUAAGUUAUAGCUUUUCAUAGACAACUUGUUGACUAUGUUAAGUCUUGUAGCUUACUCGCUUAUACUAUUUUACCUACGCUUAGGAUGUUGACGAUCAGCUGAGCGCG